rnacentral:lncRNA from 1 species
GUCGACUCCAAGGAAGUUCGAGUCGACUCCAAGACUGGAUGAGCCAAAAGACAGAGGAUCGAGAGUUCGGGCUCUGAGAUUCGAGUCGACUCCAAGGACAGUCGAGUCGACUCGAGUGGACAAAAUUCAAAAUUGAAUCCACGGACUUCUGUGGAUGAGCCGACUCCAAAAUUGCCAGGUCAGCUCCAGAAGUUGGCGAGUCGACUCCGGGUCAAGACGAGUCGACUCCCAGUCGUGACGGCAACUUUAAUUCAAAUUUGGAACAGUUGCCGAGUCGACUCCGGAAAAGCUUGAGUCGACUCCCGCUACAGCCGAGUCGACUCCUGAUCGCGCGAGUCGACUCCAACCCACCAACGGUCAUGUUGUCAGGCUGCGCAGAGUGUGC